UUACGGUCAUAUCACGUUGAAACACAGGUCCUCAUUCGAUCACCGAAGUUAAGCAACAUCGAGCCUGGUCAGUACUUUGAUAAGUGAGCGCUUGGAAAUACUAGAUG